CGUGCCCAACAGCUAGCCCAAUAAUUAAAAUCAACAAAUACCCAUUAAUAACCCCUAAAACACUACACCGCGCCAAACAAACCAUUUUUCCCCCUUAGUAU
rnacentral:rRNA from 1 species